rnacentral:rRNA from 1 species
GGUUUUUAAUCAUAUUUGAUAAUAACUUUUAAAUAAAACUAAAAGGACGCGGUAACCUUGACCGUGAUAACGUAGCAUAAUCACUCGCCAUUUAAUUGAUGGAUAGUAUGAAUGGUUGAACGAAUAUUCCACUGUCUUAGAGAGAAUCAAAAAAAAUUGAAAUAGUAGUUAAGAUGCUAUUUAAAAUUGUAAGACGAAAAGACCCUAUAGAGCUUCACUAUACACUCUUUAUAACGAACGAAACCUAUUUUUUAAAUUAAGGAGUAUGGUAGUUUAGUUGGGGCGACUACUUUCUAAAUCUAACGAAAGCAAGCAAUGUUAAUGAUAAAUUUACUGUAUAACUAAAUUUUUUAACAGUUAUUAAUAUAGGCCAUAAUGACCCGUUGUGUUUUCAGAAUUAAACACAACGAUCAAUUGAUAAAAGCUACCUUAGGGAUAACAGGAUAAUUUUAUUUUAGAGUUCUUAUCGAAAAUAAAGUUUGUCACCUCUAUGUUGAAUUAA